rnacentral:piRNA from 1 species
UGUUGAGCAAAAAGUCUUUGC